rnacentral:rRNA from 1 species
UACGUAGGGGGCUAGCGUUAUCCGGAAUUACUGGGCGUAAAGGGUGCGUAGGUGGUUUCUUAAGUCAGAGGUGAAAGGCUACGGCUCAACCGUAGUAAGCCUUUGAAACUGGGAAACUUGAGUGCAGGGGAGGAGAGUGGAAUUCCUAGUGUAGCGGUGAAAUGCGUAGAUAUUAGGAGGAACACCAGUUGCGAAGGCGGCUCUCUGGACUGUAACUGACACUGAGGCACGAAAGCGUGGGGAGCAAACAGG